UACGUAGGGGGCAAGCGUUGUCCGGCAUCAUUGGGCGUAAAGAGCGUGUAGGCGGCCCGGUCAGUCCGCCGUGAAAGUCCAGGGCUCAACCCUGGAAUGCCGGUGGAUACUGCCGGGCUGGAGUCCGGAAGAGGCGAGUGGAAUUCCUGGUGUAGCGGUGAAAUGCGCAGAUAUCAGGAGGAACACCAAUUGCGAAGGCAGCUCGCUGGGACGUAACUGACGCUGAGACGCGAAAGCGUGGGGAGCAAACAGG
rnacentral:rRNA from 1 species